AUUGAACGCUGGCGGAAUGCUUUACACAUGCAAGUCGAGCGGCAGCACGGGGGCAACCCUGGUGGCGAGCGGCGAACGGGUGAGUAAUACAUCGGAACAUGCCCAGUCGUGGGGGAUAACACUUCGAAAGAAGUGCUAAUACCGCAUACGUCCUGAGGGAGAAAGCGGGGGAACUUCGGACCUCGCGCGAUUGGAGUGGCCGAUGUCAGAUUAGCUAGUUGGUGGGGUAAAGGCCUACCAAGGCAACGAUCUGUAGCUGGUCUGAGAGGAUGGUCAGCCACACUGGGACUGAGACACGGCCCAGACUCCUACGGGAGGCAGCAGUGGGGAAUUUUGGACAAUGGGGGCAACCCUGAUCCAGCCAUUCCGCGUGAGUGAAGAAGGCCUUCGGGUUGUAAAGCUCUUUCGGCAGGAACGAAACGGCGAGCUCUAACAUAGCUUGCUAAUGACGGUACCUGAAGAAGAAGCACCGGCUAACUACGUGCCAGCCGCCGCCGUAAGAC
rnacentral:rRNA from 1 species